UGGGGAAUUUUGGACAAUGGGGGCAACCCUGAUCCAGCAAUGCCGCGUGUGUGAAGAAGGCCUUCGGGUUGUAAAGCACUUUUGUUUGGGAAGAAAUCCCUUGGGAUAAUACCUCAGGGGGAUGACGGUACCAAAAGAAUAAGCACCGGCUAACUACGUGCCAGCAGCCGCGGUAAUACGUAGGGUGCAAGCGUUAAUCGGAAUUACUGGGCGUAAAGCGUGCGCAGGCGGUUGUGUAAGACAGAUGUGAAAUCCCCGAGCUUAACUUGGGAACUGCAUUUGUGACUGCAUUACUAGAGUGCGUCAGAGGGGGGUAGAAUUCCACGUGUAGCAGUGAAAUGCGUAGAGAUGUGGAGGAAUACCGAUGGCGAAGGCAGCCCCCUGGGAUGACACUGACGCUCAUGCACGAAAGCGUGGGGAGCAAACA
rnacentral:rRNA from 1 species